rnacentral:rRNA from 1 species
GCGGCAGACGGGUGAGUAACGCGUGGGAACGUACCUUUUGGUUCGGAACAACACAGGGAAACUUGUGCUAAUACCGGAUAAGCCCUUACGGGGAAAGAUUUAUCGCCGAAAGAUCGGCCCGCGUCUGAUUAGCUAGUUGGUGAGGUAAUGGCUCACCAAGGCGACGAUCAGUAGCUGGUCUGAGAGGAUGAUCAGCCACAUUGGGACUGAGACACGGCCCAAACUCCUACGGGAGGCAGCAGUGGGGAAUAUUGGACAAUGGGCGCAAGCCUGAUCCAGCCAUGCCGCGUGAGUGAUGAAGGCCCUAGGGUUGUAAAGCUCUUUUGUGCGGGAAGAUAAUGACGGUACCGCAAGAAUAAGCCCCGGCUAACUUCGUGCCAGCAGCCGCGGUAAUACGAAGGGGGCUAGCGUUGCUCGGAAUCACUGGGCGUAAAGGGUGCGUAGGCGGGUCUUUAAGUCAGGGGUGAAAUCCUGGAGCUCAACUCC